rnacentral:tRNA from 2 species
GCCUGAGUGGUGGAAUGGUAUACACGUAACACUUAAAAUGUUAUGGGCGCAAGCCCAUGUGGGUUCGAGUCCCACCUCAGGCA